UUGGGAUACAGUCAGUCCUUGCUCACAGUUGCUCGAGGCAACAGCAUUUCAAAAUUUACAAAUUAUUCAAAUUCCAAAAAAAUAUGCUGGAUUGUUACCCCUUUUGUGCACUGUCUGUGUCUGCUGAAUGAUUCUGUCUGCUGUUCAAAGGCUGCCACCUUUCUCCGAGGCGGUCGUCCAGAAUCUAAACAUCCUUGACCGCUACAUCCUGGAACCAGCUUUCGUGCAUCUGGGUCAACGCAACAUUCUCCAGCCAGCCAAGGAUUAAGCACCCCCUCUCUAAGAGCUGAUACUAGAAGCUGCAAUCCAUGAAGGCCUUGCUCGAUCCGGGAAUCGUAGUGCAGUAAGUGCAAAAUUCUUUACCAGUUGCUCGACCAUAGGCGAUCGUAGGCGGCAAUGACGAACAAAGUUGUAUGAAAUCCACACGGAUCCGAUCUAGUGCCAUGGAAACCCAAAAGGCAUGCGAAACAUUUGUGUAGAUCUCAUAGAACUUGGUCUUCAUUGGCGCCUAUGACUGCUUAUGAACCGGGAACUGGAUGGAGUUUUCAGUGGGUGCACUCGAACAUCCCCCCUCCAGUCCACGGCGUCGUGGGAUAUUCCCACCGUAAGAUCGCUGAUCUGCUCCGACAAGCUCCGUCCCGUUCUCGACGAAGUACAAUUGGCCGUACUGGACUCAGCGGUGGAUGGUUAAAGGCUUCGCACAUGCGUCGGGAUGUCGUCCUUGGGGCAGUACACUCCCAGCGGUAACAUCCGCUUGAAGUUCGAGCUCCCAAUUUUCAAAGAUCGUUGAAUAAAUGCAUCGAAAGAUGCUCCACAGCUUA
rnacentral:sRNA from 1 species